AAUAUUGGACAAUGGGCGCAAGCCUGAUCCAGCCAUGCCGCGUGAGUGAUGAAGGUCCUAGGGGUGUAAAGCUCUUUCACCGGUGAAGUUAAUGACGGUAACCGGAGAAGCAGCCCCGGCUAACUUCUGUGCAACAGCCGCGGUAAUACGAAGGGGGCUAGAGUUGUUCGGAAUUACUGGGCGUAAAGCGCACGUAGGCGGAUCGGUCAGUUAGGGGUGAAAUCCCGGGGCUCAACCCCGGAACUGCCUUUAAUACUGCCGGUCUAGAGUCCGAGAGAGGUGAGUGGAAUUCCGAGUAUAGAGGUGAAAUUCGUAGAUAUUCGGAGGAACACCAGUGGCGAAGGCGGCUCACUGACUCGGUACUGACGCUGAGGUGCGAAAGCGUGGGGAGCAAACA
rnacentral:rRNA from 1 species